UACGUAGGGUGCAAGCGUUGUCCGGAAUUAUUGGGCGUAAGGAGCUCGUAGGCGGUCUGUCGCGUCUGCUGUGAAAACUCAGGGCUUAACCCUGAGCUUGCAGUGGGUACGGGCAGACUAGAGUGCGGUAGGGGAGACUGGAAUUCCUGGUGUAGCGGUGAAAUGCGCAGAUAUCAGGAGGAACACCGGUGGCGAAGGCGGUGGUCUGGGCCGAUACUGACGCUGAGGAGCGAAAGCGUGGGGAGCGAACAGG
rnacentral:rRNA from 1 species